GUGCACAAGUUUGCCUCCAAACAACUGGGUGAUGCCUCCAAACAGACCUGGAAUCAUCCAUUUCUCCAAGGAUCUCUGCUUCUUCUUGUAAAAUAGGCUAUUUAAGGACUACAAUCUGAGCAUUAAGGGUCUUGGAGGAAGGCAUCCUUCUAUUCUACUGAUCAGAAAGCUGGACAAAGUCCCACUGCCAGGCUACACAGUUGGUGCCAUUUGCGGAGGCCCACCCGCAGCGGUCACGUGAAGGACCGAGCGCCGCGCGCCCAGGCGGGGCCUCCGGCCUGCACGAGGAGGGCAGAGUCCGUUGCGGCUGCCGCCCCGACGCCCGCGCAUCCCCGCUCGCCGCGCCCGCCGCCGCGAUGUCCGGGGCCGGCCUAGCCGCGGUGGUGAGCUGCCUGCGCCCGCAGCCCGGCGAGGAGCCGCAGACCCAUGAGGACCUUCUCCUGGCAGCUGCCUAUGUUUUGGAUGCCCAGUACAACAGAAAUGUUCCAUUUGAAACUCACCUCAGGCCAUCAGACGUUACUAUUUUUAUAACCACUAGACAACGCAGGUUGCCGCAUACUUCUUUAUUUGUGUAGACCUCGCUCUUGCCCUGUUUGAAGAGUCUGAGUUGCUUCCCCUGCCUUUCUUGGCCACCUCAAUAGCAGAAGUACUCUGCCUGACUGCAUACUUUGGCAGACUGGUACAUUUUGCAAAAGUCACUCCUCAAAUGGUUUUCUGGAAGGAUACAAAAGACAUCUGCACCAUGGUAACCACAGUGGCGAGUGUUCAUUGUAGUACCUGUAAGAGUUUAUGACCGAAGGCAGGAGCCAUGAAGAAAAAAGACUCAAUAGAUUUGCUUUUGAUGAAACAACAACACUUCCAUACAGUGAACGCCAUAAGCACAACUGCAAGCAAACCCCAAACUGAAGAACAAAUAGGGCAAAAUGUGGCAGUGCAGACAUUUCAGCAUAUCAAGAGCACUUCCAAAUUACAGGAAAAAAAAGAUAUCUCAAUAGAUAAUUUUGCUGAAGAUAAGUGAAGGCAACUCAUAAGGAAAAAAUAUGUAAAAUGGCCGAUAGGAAAGAUGUUUAACGUCACUAAUUAAAAAUUAUAGAAUAAAACGACAAUAAAAUACCAUGUGUUUGCCUAUAAAAAAUCUUAGCAAGAUUGAAAACAAA
rnacentral:lncRNA from 1 species